AAUAACCUGUGUUUUGUAUGCCCUGUGGAGAGACGCACCCACUUUCCCCCUAAAAAGCAUAGAAAACCUUAGGCGAUUCAACCUGCCGCAAGUCGAAACCGACAAAAAAUCAGCUGUAAAGCAAGAUUUUACUGUUGUCUGAAAGAGAGCAUGCUUGCUUCAGUCUCUAUAAAUACUUCAUCAAGCUCAACACUCUACAAACCCUCAACUACACUCAACUGACGUACUGCUUUUACAUCUACAGCUGUAAAGCAAGAUUUUACUGUCGUCUGAAAGAGAGCAUGCUUGCUUUAGUCUCUACAAAUACUUCAUCAAGCUCAACACUCUACAAACACUCAACUGAGACGAAUUAAACUUUCAAAUUGUAAGUUUAUCUCAGUUGAACUAAAUCCUACUUUUAAAUCUUGCAUCAAUUAAACCUUCAAAACAUCAACCUAACAACUUCUAUUUUACUUCGAUUUCAGAAUAUAUUGACUCUUUGCAUCUGGAUCUUGUGUUGUUUCUCGGCUCUCACAUCAAGGUUUCAUAUUUUUUGUCGGCUUUUUACACCUGCCUCUUGCAUUGUUAUAAGUUCUUCCAAAUUUCUUGGUUUUUUUGUAACUUUUAACUAUGGCUUUUAACUUUAGAAGGUUGUAAAUGUUGAAAUAACUGUGGUUUUUGGA